ensembl:lncRNA
CACAAAGGCACCACGGGACUCCCACCAUCACCAGAGCUCUCCGCCUGCCUCUGGCGCUAGCUGUCAGAACCGCUUCAGCUGAAAUCAAGUUCUUUAGAUUUAUGCAGUAGCCAUGUUUGUCAAAGUAUUUGGCUCUGGUGACAUCAUCUUUGUUGAAACGCCGGACAGCAUGAUGAGUCCCAGAUGUUAAUGCACACUGAGAGUCGAGAAAGAAUAAAAUCCAAAGAUCAACACUAACAGCUCUGGAGGAGUGCACUCACUUUGCACUCUGGGGUUGAUGGAUGAAUACGUGAUUUUUUCCAAGGCAUCCUAAAGCUGUUAAACCUUACAGUCUGUUUUCUUUCUGCCUGGCUUGUAAACUUUCGGCUCGGUGAAAGAAGUUGUGAGUUAUUUUCCUCUGGCAAAUGAAGCUCCAGGCAUGGAUCCCUUGCUGCUGACACAGUGCAAAGGAUAAAAAAGCCAUUUAAAAGACGGGUAAGAACAAACAACGUGAUUAAAGGGAGCUGCCAAAAGCUGUACAAGUGUCAGCUGCCACCACUGCUCGUUACAUGGAUGAAGCUGUUGACUUUUAAUUUAUAGACAUUUGAGAAGGUGUACGUGAAGACUUGAAAAGAAGGCUUUCUUUUGCUAAAAGAAAAAAGAGAACUGUUAUUAAGAACCUCUGCUGAAAUACACUGAAUUACUUCUGCUGGUCUGUGCUAUUUGCCAAUGAGAUCUUUCUGGUUGUGUCAGAAGAUGUUCAGUCUGUCAUUCAGAUCCUCAAGCAGUGAAAUGGAGGAGAUAGUAUUUGACCAUCUGGCACUGUCUUCUUGGGCUUUACUGACUGCAAAAACAGAAGAUGUUCUGCUGAGUGAUGACUGGUUUUUGUCCUGUCAUGUCCUGAGUUUCCACAUCCCCCUGCUCGAAGAAAUGCCAGCAGCUCAUCUCAGAAGAACAAAAUAGAAAAAAAAGAAAAAGUCCGUAGAUAAGAAGCACCAUCUUAUUACCCAGUUGUGUUGGUUGGCUUUGGCAGUGGGAGCCUUUUGCAAAACUUUGCAGACAGCACAAAAAAAGCAACAGGAAAAAAAAAGAUAAAGUUCUUCCAACCACUUCUUUUUUCCUGGAUACCUGUCAACUGUUCACAUUCAGAGACCUUGGAAGGGUAACCAACUUUGAAGAUUUUGUAGACGGCUUUUUGCCCGAAUGGGAAACUGCUGAGUUUCAUCUCAUCCCUGUAGUGGUUAAUUCCAGGACACUGGGAAAGACCCCGAGCUCUAAACGUUGGAUUAAGAUCUUCACUUCAGCAGCUGAGACAAUCACACUCAGGAAACUGGGAAAAAGAGUCCUGAGGGCAGAAAGAAAGGAGAUCUACCUGGUGGUGGCAGAACAAAAAGAUUACACAACCUUGCAAGAAGAAUGUUAUUUAAGAGAAUCCUCAAAGGCCGCUCUAAGGAUUGCUGCUGAGAAUAAAGCACCUGAGAUGGAUAAUGUUCUUACAACAAAAGAGUUUAAAAUAAAAGGUUCAGUCUUGCAAGAUGUGAAUAUAAGAAGCUAUCUUCAACUGAAAAGUCUAUAGAAGAGAUUUUGGAACAAACAGAAGAUCAACAGGAUCUAAUUGUGAGGAGCGGACGAUACUUCUUCAGAUGGAACUGAAAUGUGAAAUUGCAGAAUUUUAACUUCGGUACCAGGUGCAAAGAGUGAGUAAUGUGGUGAUCAGAAGGAAGGCUGACUGUCUGAAAAGAAGCUGGGCCCAGUAAAACCGGUUGAGAAGGGACACAAUUGCUGUCUAUAAAUUUAUGAUGAGGUGACUACUUCAUCAACUUGGCUUUUCACUGGCACAGAAGAACCAGAAAAUGAACCUGGCACUAGAAGCCUGUGUUUCUUCUGCAGCUGGGAAAGCGAUGGGCCUCUCCAGAGCAAGAUUCACCAAAGCAUAUACAAGACUCUCGAUGCUGGAUGUGAAGGCAGAGAAACAAUUUACUGUUUUAAAACAAAGAGCCUGUUCCUCAGGAGACAUAGACUGAUUCAUGUGAAGGCACACCCCAGUUUCCUUGACUGCAAUGCAAUCCAAAUGCAGGCUUCAAGACCCAAUGGUCAGAGUAUUGGGUCAAGCUGAGAACUUGUGGGUUGUUGUCCUGGGCUCAGCUGCUCAUCUUGCCUCAACCUCUUCAGCAAAAAAUAAGUGGUAUCUCAAGAUGAAUGGCAGGAUAAUACCCAUUUGAAAUAUAAGUGGACAGCAGCAUCAGAUCAAAUGGAUGGUGAAAAGAGACUGAAUGGAAAAUGAUGACAGGGCAAAAAUGUCCCUUCCUACCAACAUCUUCAAUGUUUUCAUUUCCAAGCAUUUGUUAAGCAAGGAAGAGGAUCUCUCUCUAUUUAAUGUAAUUUAGUGAUAAUUCUUUGGAAAAGAGAAAAUAUCCUUUCACAGCUGUAUCAACAAUAUCUUCUCUCUUAAAAGAAAACAGCAGCUGACUUGACAUGUCAAGCAUCACGUAUUUGGCCACGGAAGGCAAGCAUGAGCCAGACUGGUCAAUAGCACUGACUUGGAACAAUGCCACUGAAAAGUUGGUCUGUAAACUGAUGCUACCUUAUUUCUUGGAUUGUAGAAGGGCUUGCUGAGAUUUAGCAGCAAUGCAGAACUACCACAUUCCCGGUAGAUAUUUCUUUUCUUGUUACAUGAGACCCAUGCAUGAAGUGAAAAAGAACAAAUGAACAUCAGGUUUACAUCACCACUGAUAUGUGAAUGAUUGAUCACCCAUUAAAUCACAUACAGAGCUGGUAACAGCACACGGGGUAGCGUUAAAGUAAAAUGUUUGAUAUUCUUUACUCUAAUUAAACAUGGAAAUAAUACGAUGCAGUCUGUAUUGUAAAUGUUAUUGCAGAUUAUAGACCUAAAGGAGAGGUGUUAUGCCACCUUUAUAGCCUCCAGUUCCUGGAGACUGUGACUUAGAGCUGCCUCAGGGCUGCCCUAAAUUACACCAGUUGGUAAUGACUCCCAGAGGGCCGCUAUGCAUCCAGUGGUUGCUGGAGUGUAAAGUACUUUGGCUAUGCCAACAGCCCAUCAUUUCACAAUGGAGGCUGAGAGCAGCUGGCAUAGUGCUUGGAGAAAAUCCCCAAGUAGUGGUUUAAGACAUUUUUCGAACUCUUUUUUUUUUUGUCAUGAGAGUGAUAUAAAAUAAAGGCCAGAUUUCACAAACACACAGGGGCUUUUCCUUUAUUAUUUAAGCAUCUGUAGUCGUGAGUUGAUAAACUGAGAGAUGAGGGUUUCUAUAGGAUUUCAGAGCAGGUAUCAACCCAAUACUGCUUCAGCUUGGCAGCAUUCCAGCUCUUUGCCCUGGCCCCUAUUCCCUGCGUGGUGCAGUGGAGCACCACUGGCUGUCAAAGGCAUACUCCUGGUUUACAUCUCUGUUAGCAAAAGGAGAACUGGAUUCCCCCUUGUAAGUGCCAGAUUUUCGAUUCAGGAUCAUAUUCCAUUCUUCGAUGGAGCUGCCAAAGAUAAAACUUGACUUUCCACAUGUAAAAUGUUUUUGUAAAUGUAUGUGUGACUCAUUCAAUAGCUCAGCCCAUCCUCACUCAGUGAGUGAUGAUUUUUCUGUCCAGUGUGUGGGUGGGCUGACCAUUCUUACGCAAAUCUCAAAUAUAAAAAGUUUUCUUGGACAUUAGGGAAUAAUAUUGGCAGUUUGGGGAUUUUGUUUUGAUGUGAUGCUCACUUAAAGCAUCCUGAAGAUAAUAGCUGACUGCUAGCAGCAGAAACUCACAACUCACAAACUGAGAUGAUGCAGCCCAAAAUUCAGAUGGCUGUGUUUUCAAAUCUCUGAGAUAACAAGCCACUGCUGUUGAUCUUACUAUAAGUUCUAUGAAACAUAAUCAAAAAUAAAGUAAGGGACAGAGAUAUCACAGGUAGGAAAUCCUUUGGGCAGUCACAGGUAGGUGUUGUUCUCAGAUAAAUUUACUAGAGAAAAGUAAGUAUCUUUUCUGUUCUAAAGAGAGUUAUUUUAAAGAGUCACUGAGCUCCAAUAUCACUGAGGAGGAGAAUGAUUUCACGGAGAAAUUUUUCUGGAUGUGAAUUCAUAAAGGACUCACUCUCACAUUGUGUGGAGAAAGAUGAGUGUUAAGACAGAGGGCUGAGCUGUAACCUUCCUAAUGGGAAGAAAAAACUAGAAUUCCCUUCUCUUUCGCAGAGUUCUCUGAGCUAGUCCUGGCUAGCAGACCUGUGUAGGGCAGCAAAAAGACAAAAGAAGGACUGAUUAAAGAAGCUAACAUGGCAUCUUGUCUGCUCCCUGACUGUGCAUCCUUCUGUACACGUGGAAGAGAGAUGGUCUGGCAUUUCUGUCUCUCCCUGCAAGGAUCAAAUGGUG